CAGACGACACCACAAAGAGAGCAACUGAAAGUAGUAAAUUGUUGAUUCUUUCCUCCUUUUCUGAGUCAGAGCUACUAGUGUGUCAUUUUCUCACCAGGUAACCAAGUAACAGGUAGAAAUGGCAAGUGGGAUGGUGUCAGCUUUACUUGUGUUCGUGGUCUUGAUGGUCGGCAAAGCAGGAGCAGGUGUGUGUGUGCUAAGAUCUAAAAUCUGUUCCAGUCCCUCUUUCUGACCGAUGUAAACAAGUGUGUGCUAUUGGUUGCUUCAGUGGAAACGUAUUUCACCCAAAAGGAUGUCCAGCAUGUCGAUGCAUAAAAAGUGCUCCAGCCCCACCUCCUAACCGAUGUGGACCAGUGUGCGCUAGAGCUUGCCGGUAUGGAAACGUACUUGACAAAAAUGGAUGUCCAACAUGUCGAUGCAUAAAAGAACCUGUUUGCCCUCCUGUGAAAUGCCGUGCGUGUCCUAGCGGCUACAUCUUUGAAGACGGCUGCCAGACUUGUACCUGUAAACCAAGACCAGAAUGUCCAAUGAUCAAGUGUGCACUCAACUGUCCUUAUGGAUAUGUCUAUAAAGAAGGAUGCCGAACAUGUACCUGUCAAAGUGGUUACAAGUGUCAAGACACUUGCAAGGUUUUUUGUGCAGAUCGUGUUGCUAUAAAGUCUGCAUUCUGUGCUCAAUGUCCUUGCGUUUAGCCAGUCCAUCAGCUUGUCUCUGUGAUUUGCUUAUGAUUGGCCUACUGAACACUCCUUGAAGACUAUCGACUCAUUCUGGACGUAAAGACCUAGCUCCUCAGCUGAAGCAUGACAAACCAAUUAGUUUACCGUCUUAGCUGUUUACUUCAGGAAUUGAAAAGUAGUUUUUGUCAGAUUUUGUCUGAUACUCGUUUAAAGGUAUACCCGAAACAUCAUCGAUUUGUACUAGAUUUUUGUAGUAGAGAAAAGUGUUUAAUAAUCCAACUGGAAAAUAAAUGGAUUCAAAGAACACCGUACUGAAUGCUUCGUAAGAUAGAUAACAGAGAGAAUGGGAGACGUUGAUGAUCAAAGAGCCAAUAGUUCUAUCUUAUGAGAUCCUGAAAUCAUUAAUAACAACUGUUAUAAGGAAAUAAGCUGUUUCCUAUUCAUGUAGUUUAUAAAUCAAGAUGAAAUUCUCAGUGAGGUCCCAAGGCCUGCAGCCUAGAGAUCAGAUGCAGUAGUGUUUAAAGUACAUUAAUUAUUUAUCUGAUUGGAGCAGCAUAUAACUUCAUUGGCUUAUACUAGAUACCUAUUCCUAGUAGUUAUUCUGUACGUUUGGUAGCAGCACAUAAUACAAUAAAGUCUAUCUGUGUUUUCAAAAUAAA